AGGGAACCCUCCAGAGCUGUGGCUGAGCUAAGCUGCAGGAGAGGACCAGAGGACAAGAGCUGCAGGCAUGGGCAGAGGAAAGCAGCCACUGGCACCCCAUGCCCAGCAAGGAAGUGGGCUUCAAGCAGCCUCAAGAGGAGUCUUUCCCAUGGCAGGACUCCCCAGGAGAGAGGCUUCCUCCUCACGCCACUUUGUCCUCUGGCAGCAACAAGUCUCAGGGGCUGAGAGCAGGAGAGGAGCUGGAACUUUCCCGUUUGGCUCUGUCAGCCAAGUGCAGCUUUCAAGUUCUCUAGGGACUGCUGUAUUUUCUCAUGACUGGAGAAUCACUGCACCUUUCUGGGCCCCAUUGAGUGACAGAAGAUCGGAAUGGAUAGUCACAUGCCUGCCCCAGCGUGGAAGGAGAAGAGCCUAUACUUCCAUCCAUUCUGGCCUCUUCCAAGUUCCCCUCAUUUUUCUCUCUAAGAUCAAAUAAAUAAACAUGUUGUUAUUCUUUUUAUACAUU
rnacentral:lncRNA from 10 species